CACCACUCAAGCCUGGCUUGGUGUUGGGCGACGUCCCCUUUAGGAACGCGCCUCGAAACGCUCGGCGGCGUGGCACCGGCUUUAAGCGUAGCAGAAUCUUUCGCUUUGGAAGUCGGGGCCCCGCCUGCCGGAAUACCUACUCGUAA
rnacentral:misc_RNA from 1 species